GCCUCGGUGGUGUAGUGGUCAAGACGCUCGCUUUGUAAACAGGAGGGUGUGGGUUCAGUCCCAGCCGAGGUA
rfam:Asian citrus Psyllid, Diaphorina citri - Florida Strain, whole genome shotgun sequence.